rnacentral:tRNA from 1 species
GCCCCCAUGGUCUAGCGGUUAGGACACAGCCCUUUCAAGGCUAUAACUCGAGUUCGAGUCUCGAUGGGGGCACCA